GUGCUCCUACGGGAGGCAGCAGUGGGGAAUAUUGCACAAUGGGGGGAACCCUGAUGCAGCGACGCCGCGUGAGUGAAGAAGUAAUUCGUUAUGUAAAGCUCUAUCAGCAGGGAAGAAAAUGACGGUACCUGACUAAGAAGCCCCGGCUAACUACGUGCCAGCAGCCGCGGUAAUACGUAGGGGGCAAGCGUUAUCCGGAAUUACUGGGUGUAAAGGGAGCGUAGGCGGUGAUGCAAGGCAGAUGUGAAAACCCGGGGCUCAACUCCGGGAGGGCAUUUGAAACUGUGUGACUGGAGGGGAGGAGA
rnacentral:rRNA from 1 species